rnacentral:rRNA from 1 species
UACGGAGGAUGCGAGCGUUAUCCGGAUUUAUUGGGUUUAAAGGGUGCGUAGGCGGACGCUUAAGUCAGCGGUAAAAUUGCGGGGCUCAACCUCUUCGAGCCGUUGAAACUGGGUGUCUUGAGUGGGCGAGAAGUACGCGGAAUGCGUGGUGUAGCGGUGAAAUGCAUAGAUAUCACGCAGAACUCCGAUUGCGAAGGCAGCGUACCGGCGCCCAACUGACGCUGAAGCACGAAGGCGUGGGUAUCGAACAGG